AUUUUGGACAAUGGGCGCAAGCCUGAUCCAGCCAUGCCGCGUGAGUGAAGAAGGCUUUCGGGUGGUAAAGCUCUUUCGGACGGAAAGAAACCGUGCAGGCACAUACCCAGCGCGGAUUACGGUACCGCCAUCAGAAGCACCGGCUAACUACGUGCCAGCAGCCGCGGUAAUACGUAGGUUGCGAGCGUUAAUCGGAAUUACUGGGCGUAAAGCGUGCAGAGGCGGUUGAUUAAGACUGGCGUGAAAUCCCCGAGCUUAACCUGGGAACUGCGCUUGUGACUGGUCAGCUAGAGUACGGAAGAGGGGGGUGGAAUGCCACGUGUAGCAGUGAAAUGCGUAGAGAUGUGGAGGAACGACGAUGGCGAAGGCAGCACCCUGGGCCGAUACUGACGCUCAUGCACGAAAGCGUGGGUAGCAAACAGG
rnacentral:rRNA from 1 species